UACAGAGGUCUCAAGCGUUGUUCGGAUUCAUUGGGCGUAAAGGGUGCGUAGGUGGCGCGGUAAGUCGGGUGUGAAAUCUCGGAGCUUAACUCCGAAAUUGCAUUCGAUACUGCUCGUGCUCGAGGACUGGAGAGGAGACUGGAAUUCAUGGUGUAGCAGUGAAAUGCGUAGAGAUCAUGAGGAAGACCAGUGGCGAAGGCGGCUUUCUGGUCUGUAACUGACGCUGAGGCGCGAAAGCGUGGGGAGCAAACAGG
rnacentral:rRNA from 1 species